GACGAACGCUGGCGGCGUGCUUAACACAUGCAAGUCGAACGGAAAGGCCCUGCUUUUGUGGGGUGCUCGAGUGGCGAACGGGUGAGUAACACGUGAGUAACCUGCCCUUGACUUUGGGAUAACUUCAGGAAACUGGGGCUAAUACCGGAUAGGAGCUCCUGCUGCAUGGUGGGGGUUGGAAAGUUUCGGCGGUUGGGGAUGGACUCGCGGCUUAUCAGCUUGUUGGUGGGGUAGUGGCUUACCAAGGCUUUGACGGGUAGCCGGCCUGAGAGGGUGACCGGCCACAUUGGGACUGAGAUACGGCCCAGACUCGUACGGGAGGCAGCAGUGGGGAAUAUUGCACAAUGGGCGGAAGCCUGAUGCAGCAACGCCGCGUGCGGGAUGACGGCCUUCGGGUUGUAAACCGCUUUCGCCUGUGACGAAGCGUGAGUGACGGUAAUGGGUAAAGAAGCACCAGCUAACUACGUG
rnacentral:rRNA from 1 species